CCUUAGUAAAAAGUAUUAAUAAAAAAUCUUGAAGGAUAAGGGUGCUGAAUGACAGCAUGUUGAAAAUAAUACGAAAACUGUACAUAAUGCUAAAACAUAUGCUUAGUAAACUCACUGACAUUUUAAAAAUUUGCCUGUGUUUGUUAAACUUGUAUAGAACCUAUUACAUGUUAGGCACUAUUUAAAGCAGUUUACAUAUAACUUACUAACUACACAUUAACUUACUUAAUAUUCUUAAUCAUCAGGUAGGUAAUGUUAUUACAACUAUUUUACAGAUGAGGAAAUUGAGGUGCAGAGAGGUUUAGUAACCAUCCAAAGUCACUCAGCUAGUCAGUGGCAUUUCAGCUCCAGAGUUCAUAACCUUUACCCUACUCAAUGCUGCCAUUAGGAAGGCUAGUUAAACCUUCUAAGAUAGAGAUUCUAUAACUUGCUGAGCUUCCUAAAUGCUAGUGGGAAAACAGCUGUGAGUUUGUCUUGCUUGGUUUUUGUCUCUCAAAGUUUUUAAACAGCCUGAGACAAAACAAUAGGAACAUAAAAGAUUUGGUCUUCCCACUGAAUUCAGUAAGAAUUACUCAAAGAGGGAUUAAGGUUAAGACUACAAGUCAUUCUAUCUAGAACUUCAAACUGCUUCUGCUUAUUAUUACUAAAUAAGUGUCGUGGUAAAUUGUGGUAUUUUCAUUGUUUUUACUUCUAAAAGUAAUAUAAUUUCAUUUCAGACAUUAAGAGGGUAGAGAGGAAAUACUUCUAAUUCCAUGGCUUAUCCUCAAGCACCGCCUCUUUUAUCAUUUUGCUGUCUAAUUCUUAGUGUUCAACUCCUAAUGAAGGUGAAUGAAGAUAAUUUAAUCUUAAAGGUUUAUAAUCCCACUGUAGACCUGCUGUUUCAUCGCAAGAGGACACCAGGAAACAGGAUCAUUUUUCCCCCCUUUUGGCUAGCCAGAUGGGUUCUCCUAGAGAAUUUUAUUAUCCUUAGUAAUCCAACCUAUAUUAAGGCUACUGUAGACUUAAGUGUUUUAUUAAACGUAAGCUGGGAACAGUUCCUCGCCUGCCUCCUUCAAAGGAAGAAAGGUAUAGUUUAUAUUUUAGGGUUUUUACCAGGGGUAGAACUAGUACCACUGCACACAUCCAGAUAGGGGCUCAGGCACGGCACUGUCCCUCAGAGAAGCGUUGCUGGUCCCACUGGGGACCUAUUAAUAGCAAAGAAGGUUGGCCAGAUCUUUGUUAACAUCCCUUCCGAAAGAGUGUCUGCACUAACUUCACGUGAGCGUGAGGGCUAAGUCUCUUGAGUUUAGAUGUUCUGUUUCUUAAACCGAUUCUGCUUUCCUACGGUUCAGACAUUUGAACCAGUCUCUGUUCUUUAUGAAAAAUGGUGAGGAAGGACCACAAACUUUUUACAGCUGGUAAAUAGGCCAGUUCCUGAUGGGCUAGUCAUGUUUCUCCCAGAGUUGUAUGCUUUUCAAAGUUAAUCACUUGUUCCCAAACUUGUUUAUGCAAGUUGUACUCAGUAAUUACAUAAUUUAAUGCAGUAUUACCAAACUCAAACAAAUAUGAGUGUGAAGAGGGUCGUAAUCUCUCUGAAAUUAUGUUGAAUGCUUGAGAAAGACCUGGUAUCAGGAAAAAAAGAUGCUGUGGAAUUAAAUGUGGACAGAACAAAUGUGAAAGUUUGGGUGGGAGGAAAGGGUUGGCAAAAUCUAGAAUUCUGCCCUUGGUUUGCUCCGCAAGUGUCUUGAGUCCUCACUACGCUGAGACUAAAAUUGACAAGGCUACCCACUGUGCCAAUGGAUAGCUUACGUGCACCCCAUCAGGAGACCCCAUUCAGAGAAGAGGUCUUAGCCUGAUAUCAAAGGAAUGAUGGGUGAAUGAACUUGUAUGUGUUUUAAGUUAAAAAUAAAGUUAUAAGGACAUUUGUUAUAAUUUUGUGAUUGCCCAUUUUAACUUGCUUUUCUCUUCAACUUACUGUUCUCUUUAACUGGCCAUCAACAGAUCCUGACCACAGAGAAGCAGGAAGGUUCCACAGUAUGAUGUAACGAGCAGCUGCCAACCGCACACAAGUACAGGAACAUGAAUUACCUAGACCUCAGUGCUUGCUAGCGACGAUGUUGCCUUUUUCCAGAAGAAACUUGAAGUGGGUUAAGAUAAAGAUGUGUACACGUUAAGAUUAACAAAGCAGACGUGAACAGGACAAGCGGGAAAAUGAGAAGCAGAAAACCUGACCUCAAGAACUAGCUAACCUCUGUGACGAUCAGACUGGGCUUCGAGAGCAAGUUUAUAAGGCAGCUAUCAGAAAACCUGAAACAUGCUCCUCGCAGGAUGCUUUCGAUACAAAAGGCAAAGUGUUGCUAGAGAAGACGGGAGAGGAUGGACAUGGGCCCUUUGGACCUGUGGACAUGGGUUUUCCAGAGGAGAAAAAUAACACGUAACAUGGAAAUGUAACACACGCUUCAAAAGUACGUGUCACCCCAUGUCCAUCACAGGAACUCAGCUGUGUUUCUCUCUGUCCCACGGCAGUUUAUACACCUGCAUCAGCUGCUCAUCUGGGUCACAUCACAGCCACCACCAGCGGCUUUGGGACCAGACGGCUCUGGAUGGCAUCCCAACUCUGUCGCCCAUCAGCUGUGCGCCCCAGGCUAGCCUCCUGGGCUCAGUGUCCUCACCUGUAAAGAGAAGAUGACACACCUCACAGGGAGGGGGUGCUGUCACCAGUGGGAUGUGCUCUUCAACAGCCAGUGUUUGUCUUUCAAACUUCAAACUUUUGAUUUUGCAUUUUGUAUUGGAGUAUAACCAACUAACAAUGUUGUGGCAGUUUCCAGUGAACAGCAAAGGGACUCAGCCAUACAUAGACAUGUGUCCCUUCUUCCCCAAACCCCUCUCCCAUCC